rnacentral:lncRNA from 1 species
GUCCUUGCGGUUACUGCUAAAGGACGAACAAGGUGGAGCCGAGCUAUACUUACAAACCGGCUCAAGCUCAAGUUCAUGAAGAAGCACUCGAAGCGGCAGAAAUUAAUUGCGGGUGGUUCUUGUACCAGUAGCCGGUUACCUAAGAAGCCGAGAGUGGGGAUAUUAAAGCUGAAAACGAAGAAUUUGCCGGCUUUCCAGAAGAAAGCUCGAGUAUUGGGACGGCUUGUUCCUGGUUGCAGGAAACAACCGGUGCCGGUGAUUCUUGAAGAAGCCAGUGAUUACAUAGCAGCUCUUGAGAUGCAAGUUCGAGCCAUGAGUGCUCUAGCUAACCUCCUUUCUGGCUCUUCUUCUACUGCUGCUGCUCCUCCUCUAGAUCAACUCAGCUCCAGCCGGCCUCCCCCUAGUUGAUCAUUUAAUCGUUUUUUUCUAUCUAAUUUCUUUUAAUUAGUUUCUUCUCUCCCUUACUAUUAAUAUUAUUCCUCUGUUCCAUAUAUUUCUUCUACCUUUCAAGUUAUGGGAAAACAUUAAUUGGAUUUUCAGUUUUAUAACGACCAAUAACUUUGUUUAGGUUUUGAUUAAUGGCGGCAGGUUCUUGUACCAGUAGCCGGUUACCUAAGAAGCCGAGAGUUGGGAUAUUGAAGCUGAAAACGAAGAAUUUGCCGGCUUUCCAGAAGAAGGCUCGAGUAUUGGGACGGCUUGUACCUGGUUGCAGGAAACAACCGGUGCCGGUGAUUCUAGAAGAAGCCAGUGAUUACA